ensembl:lncRNA
CAUCAGCUCAUUAGUAGAAUCUCCAAGACCUGAAGUGGGUUUGACAGAAAAAGGAGACAAGCUUGGGCAGGCCGGAACACAGCAAGCAAACAUCAAGCCGUCAGCGAGCAUCUGUUGGGCUAGUAGACUUUUUGUUGUUGUUUUUGUUGUGUUCUACACGUUUGCAGUCGUCAGGCUCAAAAUGGCGUUUGGCUUCUGUUUCCAUGAUGUCACACUGGGUAGCUCCGCCCAUAGUGAAUCCUCAUUGGUCCAAGAUCCUGCACCACAUAGAUCUACAGUUACCACAGAUCUCGGUUUCAGAGAAAGGACAGAAAACAUGUUAACCUUUGUAUAUCUUCAAUGAAGCCCUAGCAUGCAAUUGUAAAGUAUGUCUAAUUUAAAUAAAAUAUCCGACCAUCACACACUUUUUAACAUAUGAUACUUGAACAUUGUUAAACAUGUUAGCAUGUGCAUAAAAACACAACAUUUUGUCUU